GACGAACGCUGGCGGCGUGCUUAACACAUGCAAGUCGAACGGAAAGGCCCUGCUUUUGUGGGGUGCUCGAGUGGCGAACGGGUGAGUAACACGUGAGUAACCUGCCCUUGACUUUGGGAUAACUUCAGGAAACUGGGGCUAAUACCGGAUAGGAGCUCCUGCUGCAUGGUGGGGGUUGGAAAGUUUCGGCGGUUGGGGAUGGACUCGCGGCUUAUCAGCUUGUUGGUGGGGUAGUGGCUUACCAAGGCUUUGACGGGUAGCCGGCCUGAGAGGGUGACCGGCCACAUUUGGACUGAGGUACCGCCCAGACCCCUACGGGGGGCAGGAGGGGGGAAUAUUGCACCAUGGGCGGAAGCCUGAUGCAGGAACGCCGCGUGGGGGAUGACGGCCUUCGGGUUGUAAACCGCUUUCGCCUGGGAAGGAGCGGGGGUGAAGGUAAUUGGUAAAGAAGCACCGGCUAACUACGUG
rnacentral:rRNA from 1 species